CCUACGGGAGGCAGCAGUGAGGAAUAUUGGACAAUGGGCGAAAGCCUGAUCCAGCAAUGCCGCGUGAGUGAUGAAGGCCUAUUAGGUUGUAAAGCUCUUUUAGCAGGGAAGAUAAUGACGGUACCUGCAGAAAAAGCUCCGGCUAACUACGUGCCAGCAGCCGCGGUAAUACGUAGGGAGCUAGCGUUGUUCGGAUUUACUGGGCGUAAAGAGCGCGUAGGUGGUUAUACAAGUUAGAAGUGAAAUCCCGGAGCUUAACUUCGGAACUGCUUCUAAAACUGUAUAGCUUGAGUGUGGUAGGGGGUAAUAGAAUUCCUAGUGUAGAGGUGAAAUUCUUAGAUAUUAGGAGGAAUACCGAUGGCGAAGGCGAUUACCUGGGCCACUACUGACACUGAGGCGCGAAAGCGUGGGGAGCAAACAGGAUUAGAUACCCUGGUAGUCCACGCAGUAAAUGGUGAGUGNUAGAUGUCGGGUAAGUUUAAUUUACUUCGUCCGUCGCAGCUAACGACAUUAAGUACACUCCGUCCGUCGGGGUAGGUACGGUCGGCGAAGAAUUAAACUUAACAAACGGAAGUUAGUACGGCGUGAGACGUGCCGACGGACGACGACGAGGGAGGUAGG
rnacentral:rRNA from 1 species